GUAGGUGGCAAGCGUUGUCCGGAAUUAUUGGGGCGUAAAGCGCGCGCAGGGCGGUCCUUUAAGUCUGAUGUGAAAGCCCACGGCUCAACCGUGGAGGGUCAUUGGAAACUGGGGGACUUGAGUACAGAAGAGGAAAGCGGAAUUCCAAGUGUAGCGGUGAAAUGCGUAGAGAUUUGGAGGAACACCAGUGGCGAAGGCGGCUUUCUGGUCUGUAACUGACGCUGAGGCGCGAAAGCGUGGGGAGCAAACAGGAUUAGAUACCCUGGUAGUCCACGCCGUAAACGAUGAGUGCUAAGUGUUAGGGGGUUUCCGCCCCUUAGUGCUGCAGCUAACGCAUUAAGCACUCCGCCUGGGGAGUACGGCCGCAAAGGCUG
rnacentral:rRNA from 1 species